rnacentral:rRNA from 1 species
GAUGAACGCUGGCGGCGUGCUUAACACAUGCAAGUCGAACGGGAUCCAAGAAGUGCUUGCACUUUUUGGUGAGAGUGGCGAACGGGUGAGUAACACGUGAGUAACCUGUCCUUUUCUUUGGGAUAAGCAUCCGAAAGGGUGUUUAAUACCUUAUGUUCUGUCUGCCUCGCAUGGGGUGGGUGGGAAAGAUUUUUUCGGUAAAGGGUGGGCUCGCGGUCUAUCAGCUUGUUGGUGGGGUGAUGGCCUACCAAGGCUUUGACGGGUAGCCGGCCUGAGAGGGUGGUCGGUCACAUUGGGACUGAGAUACGGCCCAGACUCCUGCGGGAGGCAGCAGUGGGGGAUAUUGCACAAUGGGCGAAAGCCUGAUGCAGCGACGCCGCGUGGGGGAUGAAGGCCUUCGGGUUGUAAACUUCUUUUGCUCUGAACAAGGCGCACCGUGGGGUGUGUUGAGUGUAGGGGUUGAUUAGCGCCGGCUAACUACGUGCCAGCAGCCGCGGUAAUACGUAGGGCGCGAGCGUUGUCCGGAAUUAUUGGGGCGUAAAGGGCUUGUAGGUGGCUGGUUGCUUCUGUCGUGAAAGCUCAUGGCUUGACUUGUGGGUUUUGCGGGGGUACCGGCUGGCUUCAGUGGAGCGGGGGAAGGUGUAAUUCCCUGUUGUUUCGG